rnacentral:rRNA from 1 species
AUUGAACGCUGGCGGCAUGCUUUACACAUGCAAGUCGAACGGUAACAGGCCGCAAGGUGCUGACGAGUGGCGAACGGGUGAGUAAUGCAUCGGAACGUGCCCAGUCGUGGGGGAUAACGCAGCGAAAGCUGCGCUAAUACCGCAUACGAUCUCUGGAUGAAAGCGGGGGACCGAAAGGCCUCGCGCGAUUGGAGCGGCCGAUGUCAGAUUAGGUAGUUGGUGGGGUAAAGGCCCACCAAGCCAACGAUCUGUAGCUGGUCUGAGAGGACGACCAGCCACACUGGGACUGAGACACGGCCCAGACUUCUACGGGAGGCAGCAGUGGGGAAUUUUGGACAAUGGGCGCAAGCCUGAUCCAGCAAUGCCGCGUGCAGGAAGAAGGCCUUCGGGUUGUAAACUGCUUUUGUACGGAACGAAACGGUCCGGGUUAAUACCCUGGGCUAAUGACGGUACCGUAAGAAUAAGCACCGGCUAACUACGUGCCAGCAGCCGCGGUAACAC